rnacentral:lncRNA from 1 species
GGUGGAGCACCACGCCUUUAAUCCCAGCACUUGGGAGGCAGAGGCAGGUGGAUUUCUGAGUUCGAGGCCAGCCUGGUCUACAGAGUGAGUUCCAGGACAGCCAGCCAGGGCUACACAGAGAAACCCUGUCUCGAAAACCAAAAAAAAAAGAAAAAGAAAAAAAAAAAAAAACUCUGGUUUUCUCCAGUUUAUUAUAAAAUGUUGUAUUAUGCAAAGAGAUAAAUCAGCAUCCCUGGGUAUCAAGUCUAACAGAUACACAACAACAGCAUUUCUAUGUGUGUUUAGUGGGCCCUUUGCAUUUUUACUUUGAUUCAGUUAUUUUAUUUACCAAAUAUAGCUGUGAUUUUAAAAUACUCUCGCUCUCAACCUUCCUUCAUCUCUACUAUACAUAAUAUCAACCCUGGUGAUUUAUUAAUAAUUGGAAAUAAGUUAUAGAAUGUAUGUUGCUAUUUAUUUCCUUAGCCAAAUGGUUAUUUAGAAGAACAUUUGUUUCUGGGUGAUCGCUAUAGGGUUUUUCCUAGUUUAAUUUGUCAUAACCAAGGAAAAUAUGUGAUUCCUGUUUUUAGUUAUUUUAGGAUUAGGGCCCUUGAGAUAGGCCAAGCCUUAGCAAACCAGGUAUGAUCUUUGGGUCCAGUGUGUUGGAAGGAAAAACUGAAUUCUCCAUGGUUUGUCCUUUGACCUCCAUACAUAUGCUAUAGCAUGUGCAUACACACACACACACACUCACACAUAUACAAAAUAAGCAUUUCUUUAUAAAACUAAUUUUAGAGGCUGUCUAUCGCUCAGAGGACCCAAGUUCGGUUCCCAGCACCCAUUGUUCGAAUGCUCACAAUCGACUUAAUCUCCAGCUUACAUACACAGAAUUACAAAUAAAAAUAUUGAAAAUUUUAUAUUUGCUUUAUAGCUUAGAACACGUUUUAAUAACUUUUCCAUAUAUAUUUAAGAGGCCUUAAUCUUUUUACAUUGUUUUAUGCUAAAAUGUAGUAUUUACCUAUCCUAGUAUAAAUUAGAACAAAAUAUUGUCCUUAUUCUAUUUUUAUAUUAGUUGAUACUCAAUGUUAAAGUUUUCAUAUCUCCCUUGUUUCCAUUUAUUUCAUGUUAUAGUCCUAAUCCAUCUGCUUUUGUGUUGUGGUUUGUUUGGUCUGUGACUGAAUGUUCAGUAUGUUUAUAGAUUUACUAUUGGAUUAUUUCUGUGUUUAAAAAAUAGCACAUGCUAAUUAUUUAAGACCUGAAAAAUAAAGAAACAUACAGAAGGAAUUAUACAUCUUUACUCUUGCUAUAGUGAAGUAUUAUUAAAAUGUUUUAUGUGAUUAAAGAACAGAAGGGUUAGGUUUAGAUUUGAAUCUAAAUGUGGGCCCUACUUUUAUCCUUGGACGUAUUGGAUAUCUUCAUGUGUUAACCAUGUAUUAUUGAGCAUGUACUAUGUGCCAGGUAUUUUGCUGAGAUUAUACUUAAAAAUAUUGGCAAGUUCAUCUUGGCUUAAUUUUUUUCUAUUUGUAAAUUGAUGAUAAUGUUUCUCGGAGUUGUUAGGAGCGUCAGAGAUAAUAAUACUUAGUAUUUGCCUAGUGGGCUCGAGCGCAGUAAUUGAUAGCAACCAUUACUAGUAUCCAUUCAGUACUGGACUCUGUAGUCCAAGUGACCUUUGUGAUCACCUGCAUAGCUCUUCGUCUUGGGUUUUAUGUUUACUUAUGUUACAAACAUCUGCUCCCAUUUGUAUGUUUUAAAGUGUGUAGUAAUUGUACAAAGAAGAGUUUGGAGAUGAUAUGGUUCAUGCAGUGUUAGAACACUUGCCUAACAUGCGUGAAGGUCUGGGUUCAGUUCCUGGAACCCCCAAAAGUUAGGUGCAUGCAUUCUUUUUCUAUAUGGUUUUCUAUAUUUACCUCUUUUCUUUGACAGUAAAUAAUGUUUUUUUUUUCCUUCUUACAAAAUGUAAGGCUCCUAGAAGUUUUGGAGGGAAGCAUUUCACACAGUGCAGUGUAAGUAGUAUGGUCAAGCACCAUUUUCUAAGAAUACAGUCACAAAACUGGCCAACUCAUGACCCGCUAUUUUGUUAUUUGAUACCCCUCCCACCAACUACUUUACCCACUUCCUCAUCACAUCUCUAGUGAAUUAUUUUGAAGCUAAUUCUAUGUAAGUCAACCCCAGUGUAAAUAUUUGCAUCAUAUUUCUUUAAAAAUUAAAAUACUUACUGUCGGGCAGGCAAGAUGGCUCAGUGGGUAAGAGUACUGAUUGCUCUACAGAAGGUCCUGAGUUCAAAUCCCAGAAACCACAUGGUGGCUCACAACCACCCAUAAUGAGAUCUGAUGCCCUCUUGUGGUGCAUCUGAAGAAAGCUACAGUGUACUUAUCUUUGGGCCAGAGCAGGCCGAUUAGAGCGAGCAGGGUUGACCAGAGCAAGCAGAGAUCCUAAAAAUUCAAUUCCCAACAACCACAUGAAGGCUCACAACCAUCUAUAUACAGCUACAGUGUACUCAUAUAC